UACGUAGGGUGCAAGCGUUGUCCGGAAUUAUUGGGCGUAAAGAGCUCGUAGGCGGUCUGUCGCGUCGGCUGUGAAAUCCCGAGGCUCAACCUCGGGUCUGCAGUCGAUACGGGCAAACUGGAGUGUUGCAGGGGAGACUGGAAUUCCUGGUGUAGCGGUGAAAUGCGCAGAUAUCAGGAGGAACACCGGUGGCGAAGGCGGGUCUCUGGGCAACAACUGACGCUGAGGAGCGAAAGCGUGGGGAGCGAACAGG
rnacentral:rRNA from 2 species